AGAGGCGAGAGAGGCCAGCGCCAGGCAGGCCCGGGGCACUUAUUUUGCCAAAGAAAACACGCCCUGCCCUUCAGAAUCCCUGCGUGUUUGGGGCCCAUUCUGGGGAUGGGAGAGGCUGAAGACAGGAGUUGGGGACAGCUUCGACUUGUCACAGCAGGUGACAAAAUCAAAGAAGCGUCGUGACUUAGCCAAGGAGACAAAAUAUGAAAUGGCAGACGCAAGACCAGUUUCCCAGCCAGGCGUGGUGGCUCCAUCGCCAUGAGUUCAAGGCCAGCCUGAACUCCAUAGGAAGACCCUGCCUGUCUCAAAAAGCAAAUGAACCCAAAAGGAAUAUUUGAGGCGUGGUGAAGCACGGCUGUAAUCCCAG
ensembl:lncRNA